rnacentral:rRNA from 1 species
AUUGAACGCUGGCGGCAGGCCUAACACAUGCAAGUCGAGCGGAUGAAGGGAGCUUGCUCCUGGAUUCAGCGGCGGACGGGUGAGUAAUGCCUAGGAAUCUGCCUGGUAGUGGGGGAUAACGUCCGGAAACGGGCGCUAAUACCGCAUACGUCCUGAGGGAGAAAGUGGGGGAUCUUCGGACCUCACGCUAUCAGAUGAGCCUAGGUCGGAUUAGCUAGUUGGUGGGGUAAAGGCCUACCAAGGCGACGAUCCGUAACUGGUCUGAGAGGAUGAUCAGUCACAAUGGAACUGAGACACGGUCCAGACUCCUACGGGAGGCAGCAGUGGGGAAUAUUGGACCAUGGGCGAAAGCAUGCUCCAGCCAUGCCGCGUGUGUGAAGAAGGUCUUCGGAUUGUAAAGAACUUUAAGUUGGGAGGAAGGGCAGUAAGUUAAUACCUUGCUGUUUUGACGUUACCAACAGAAUAAGCACCGGCUAACUUCGUG